GAAAAAAUGACAGGCUCUGAAAUGUCCUCAAUGUAAAAAGCUCGUUGGAGGACAUUUAUAGCUGUUAUUUUGUGCAAAGUUAAAUCAAACUCCAUAUUAAUUUGUUAAUAAAAAUCACAUUUUUUAAACUUUAUUUAUACAGGUAGUCCCAUCGAGACCCAAUGGCUCAUUUGCAAGAGAGAGACCUGUUCAAGACAAACAACAUUAAGGGAAUACUAACUUAAAUUUUAAAUCUAUUGAAUUCACUCUGCAUGAACAUCUGUUAUGUGGAACACAAGCAGAGAAAAGGGAAUAAAAAGUAGCUCUAUUUCCUGUUGCUUACAUUGUAAAUGGAUCAUUUUGCCUCCACAGCUAAACAAAAUCACGAGUAUAUUCAGGGGUUAAAGUGGGAUUCAGCAGGUGGGGAAAGCCCGGUUAUUUGUAGUGGAGCAGCGUGUGGAAAAUACUCACUCAGAAACAACUCUGUAACUUCUGUUGUGAGCUCCUGUAGAGUUUCUGUGUGCACAGGCUGGGAUCAGCUGAGCUAAGCUGAUCUUUCUGGAUUUAGCUAACUACAUUCUGUAAGAUAUAACCUGAUGUUUCAUGAGCUUUCACAGCUGAUUGCAUUAGACAGUAUAAAAUAGUAUAAAGGUGGAAUUCAGUGACUGCCUCAUGAGCUUACAUUUAAUUUGAUGUCUGUUACACUUAACACCACUCUAACACAGUGCAACCACAAUCACCACUGUACUGCAAACUAAACUGCCUUUAAUGCAAAAUCUGAAUACGUUUCACCAAACAUAAUUCAGCAGCACAUUGUGUACAAAUCCAACGUGUGUAUUUACCUUGUAUCUAAUUUCUCUUCUUUUUCUUCCAUCUUUCUUCAUCUCUGAAUGAAUUUCUCUCAUUCUUGUCUCUCCCUGUGAAAUGCAGCAGCUGAACCUUUAGCUAGCACACUACAAAGAAGCAGGUUGUGUGUUUUCUUUUUCUUGUCAAGAAGUUACCCGUCACUUAAAAAAUGUUACUCCUUUUAUAUUCUCGCUCCUCUUCUGUAGUGCUAGCUAGUUGUUGAUGUACACCGACCAUAGUUUAUAUUAAAAUCUGCCCCCAAAACACUGUUCCAGAUACUCCAGCCCACUUUAACCGCCGACUGUGAUGCUGUGUGGAUGUGUGUUUGUUUCCCAUGGACUGGCAACUUGCCCAGGGCGUACCCCACCUCUGCCCCGUGACAGCUGGGGAGAGGUUGCCAGUGCAUCACAUACAACCAUGCACCCUCAGACUCAAGCCCAGCGCCUUCUGACCUUUAGACUUCUGACAGUAACCGUAUGGAUCACAGGAUGUACCGAGCUGAGGAGGUCUCAGCCUAAAACAAAGGUCACGUAUUGAAAGCUGCAGCGCCUCUUCAGCGUUACUUCAGCGGUGGUGCGAGUGGAGCAGGAGGACUAAAAGAAAGGCUGCGGGAGGAAUUCUUUCUCUGCCUGAAGACAGCAAAGGACAGUAAACAAUAAGUAUAUUCACAAAUAUUUAGAGAGAAUAUAUUUGUGUACAAGUAUUUAUCGAUUAACAUCUAUUAAUGUAAAAACAUGUAUUUUUCUAUAGCGCACCACUGCAGUUCCUGUUGUAGGCUUACAGAACACUGAACUUUCUGGAUCCUUUUUUACAAAUUAUUUCCGUUGUUUGGUUUUAAAGGUGUGAACUAGUUUUUCACCGUCUUCUGUUAUUUGUUUGCGAAUUUUCAGUCGGUUUUGAACCAGAUUCAGUCACACGAGGUGAACGCCGGUGCCUGCAGACGUCUGUGUGAAGAAGUGUUUUCAUGCUGUCGAGUUUAUCAGGACGUUUUAAUGUGCGUGGUGAGAAAAGGAGCCUCUCAGCAGAUCUGGCAGCUCCAGACUGAGAGGCUUUAUUAGCGAUAAGGGGGAAGUUGUGGUCUUAUUAAAACCGUUUGAGACUCGGAGAGCUGCCGGAGUGAUGAAGCACUGCAGGAAGAGGGAACCAAAGAGGUCAUAACACCUCCUCCAAAACAUUUAAUUGGUAUUUUUCACUUGUUUUUUUUUUUUCCUUUUUGCUCAUGCCUGCUGUUUAAGAUAGGAAAUACUCAACAUUACUGACUGCUGCACAAUGCACAUCAGGCCUGGCUCACUUAUUACAGGGUUUUAUUAUUGCUGAGAGUCUCAAAGUGUCGGAGAAAAGAGAAAAAAAUCACACCACCAAAAACUAAAAUCAAAACUGCAACUGUUCUGGAGUUAAACAUCAGAGUGACUGCCAAACACACCACUCAUCUCUUUUUUGUGGUUCCAUAUUUAAAUAAAAUAAUAAAAAUACAUUUAAUGGUUUUAACAGGACAAUAAAUAAUAAAGAGUUGCAGCCUCUCCAGUGUGAAGACUUUAUUUUCAAAAUGGAUUUAAAAUGCUUUGGACUGAUGGGCAAAUCGAAUUUAUCCCACUUUAUUCACACAAAACAAAUUUUUGUAAGAGUUGAAAUAAUCCUUCACAUUUCACUGACCAUCACAGAUAAAUUAUAAAGUUAAUCUGCAGUGACAAACUGUUUAGGUUGAUGUAAUAAAAUAUGAAAGUAUUUACCAGUGCAACAGAAUCAUUUGAUGC